CAGGCUACAGCGGCAUAUAUUUUCCUUUUCUCCCUCCCCCCUAAAACGUGGUGGAUGUCUGUAAUAAUAAUAUGAUGAUGUGAGAGGUUUGGUGGGAAUCGUGUGUAGUCGUCGCGAACAUCUGGAGUAAAGCAAACUAAUGCUUCUUUGACAGAGCCUGUCCUGAACCCGUAGCCGAGCCUCCCGAGUCUCUGCUCCGCCAUGCCUCUGGUGGUGGACGCCGUGUGGGCGCUGUGGAGCAUCACAGCCGGCAUCUACGACUACUUCCACACCAGCGCCAUGGAGGAGAGGAUCCACACGCUGGAGAACGUCCUCUCUAUCCACCAGUUUGUGAUCGCGGGCUUGUCGGCAGGCCUCAUCCUGCUCAUGACGUACAUACUGUGGAGAAAACACUAAACCUUGAAAGCUCAGCUGAAGAACCAAACCGCCCCCUUGCUAGAUGUUGUUUCGUUUGAGGCUCAAAUGACUGCUCGACGGCUGAAGAUCAAGCAUGUUUGGUAACGGUUAGGAAGUCCCAAAUGAAGUCAGGAGCACCGAUGGGCGACUAAACAAAGACAACGAAGCUCAAUAAGGACUCCCAUCGAUGUGCGUGUUAUCGUGAGCGCUUGGUCUGUCUAUCUGUUAGUCUGUCUAGUUUUUUUUUCGGGGGGGGCUGCAGAUCAUUGUCCACAUUUAAUAUCAAAUCAUAACAGCCAAUCCGGGCAACUUUGCACUUUUUUGACAUUAUUUUUCCAAGUUCGGAAGACUCCACCUUCAACAGUGUGUGAUGAGGGAUGACCGGAGAUGUUUAGUCGUCGUCGGUUGUGUCAGUUUUAUCCGGUAGAGUAGAGACAAUGUUGGAUUUUAAACUUGAGGCCCGGGAGCGACGAGAGUACGAUGUAUUUACCUUGAGAUCGACGGUCAUGUGUUUACAGAAGAAUCAUGUAGGGUUGGGCAAUUAAUCGAAAAAUAAUCUAAACCGACAUUUAGAAACUCUAAUCGACUUAAUCUUGCUCAUGUCAAUUAAUGGUGGUGUUCACUGUUGCCAUGACAGCAAAGGUUGCAUAUCUUUAAGGAAUUUGAAAACUUGUCUCCAGUGAUCAUUUUAACCCAAACCGUGAUCUUUACAUAGUUCUGAUCAAGUAAACUAGACAUUAACCACAGCGUCACACCUUAAAACAGGAAAUUAUUAUUAAGAAAAAAGGAAAGAAAGACAGAUGGAAGGAAGGAAGAGAAGACAGGAAGGAAGGAAGGAAUGAAUGAAAGGCAGAUGGAAGAGAAGACAAGAAGGAAGGAAUGAAUGAAAGGCAGAUGGAAGGAAGGAAGAGAAGACAAGAAGAAAGGAAGGAAGGAAGGAAUGAAUGAAUGAAAGGACAGAUGGAAGGAAGGAAGAGAAGACAGGAAGGAAAGAUGUAAGGAAGAAAGGGAGGAAGGAAGGGAGGAGUAAAAGACAGAAGGAAGGAAGGAAAGAAAGGAAGGAAGAAGGGAAAGAUGGAAUGAAGAAAGAAAGAAGUAAUCUUUUCAUAAUUCUAAUCAAGUAAACUAGACAUUAACCACAGCGUCACACCUUAAAACAUCAUUAUUUUCACUCCCUAAAGGAGGAAAAGAUGGAAGGAAGGAAGGAAGGAAGGAAGGAAGAGAAGACUGGAAAGACAGACAGAAAGAAAGAAAGAAAGGACAGAUGGAAGGAAAGAAGGAGUGAACGACAGAUGGAAGGAAGAGAAGACAAGAAAGAAAGAAAGAAAGGACGGAUGGAAGGAAGAAA